UACGAAGGGUGCAAGCGUUAGUCGGAAUUACUGGGCGUAAAGCGUGCGUAGGCGGUCUCUUAAGUCCGUUGUGAAAGCCCUGGGCUCAACCUGGGAACUGCAGUGGAUACUGAGAAGCUAGAGUGUGUCAGAGGAUGGUGGAAUUCCUGGUGUAGCGGUGAAAUGCGCAGAUAUCAGGAGGAACACCGGUGGCGAAGGCGGGACUCUGGGCCGAUACUGACGCUGAGGAGCGAAAGCGUGGGGAGCAAACAGG
rnacentral:rRNA from 1 species